rnacentral:piRNA from 1 species
UUAAAGAGAUAAUUGGAUCAA